rnacentral:rRNA from 1 species
GACGAACGCUGGCGGCGUGCUUAACACAUGCAAGUCGAGCGGUAAGGCCCUUUCGGGGGUACACGAGCGGCGAACGGGUGAGUAACACGUGGGUGACCUGCCCUCAGCUCUGGGAUAAGCCUGGGAAACCGGGUCUAAUACUGGAUAUGACUCCAUGACGCAUGUUGUGGGGUGGAAAGCCUUGUGCGGCUGAGGAUGGGGCCCGCGGCCUAUCAGCUUGUUGGUGGGGUGANGGCCUACCAAGGCGACGACGGGUAGCCGGCCUGAGAGGGCGACCGGCCACACUGGGACUGAGGCACGGCCCAGGACUCCUACGGGAGGCAGCAGUGGGGAAUCUUGCGCAAUGGGCAAAGCCUGACGCAGCGACGCCGCGUGAGGGAUGACGGCCU